UACGUAGGGGGCUAGCGUUGUCCGGAAUCAUUGGGCGUAAAGCGCGUGUAGGCGGCCCGGUAAGUCCGCUGUGAAAGUCGGGGGCUCAACCCUCAGAUGCCGGUGGAUACUGUCGGGCUCGAGUACGGAAGAGGCGAGUGGAAUUCCUGGUGUAGCGGUGAAAUGCGCAGAUAUCAGGAGGAACACCAAUUGCGAAGGCAGCUCGCUGGGACGUUACUGACGCUGAGACGCGAAAGCGUGGGGAGCAAACAGG
rnacentral:rRNA from 1 species